rnacentral:lncRNA from 1 species
GCCUCCGCCCCGAGCCUCUCCUCCAGGCCGCUCCGGCGUCCGGACUUCCCGCGUCGCCGCGCGCUGACCCAAGGAGGCUUCCGUCCCGCCCCCCGGGGCCCACGCUGCGUCCCACAGUGCCCCGCGCGCCAUUGCCUCCCUCAGCACCCGGCCCCGCCCCCGCCUCGAGUCGCCCGAGCGUCCGAACUCUGCACGCCGCUACGGCGUUGGCCUUCCCGGGUUCUCGUCCGGCCUCCCCCCGGGGACCCAGCGGCCCCUUCCCAGGCUCGUGCCCCUGCUGCUGGCCGCCGCCACGUCUAGAGACUCCUCCUUCAGCUCAAUUCUGCGGGACCUGAUGUCCGUCUUGGAGCUCUUCACCCCUCCCAGCUUUGCCAUAAGCGCAGUACGGAGAACCGUCGCCUGGAAGUGCUGCACGCAAACUCCUUUGCGGGCGCAGCGCUAAGGCUGGGGACGUAGACGCGGGCGGGGCUCGCCUCGGGCCUGGGUUCGGGCCGCCCAGGAGGAGAGCGCGGCCUUGCGUUCACUCAGAGCCAAACCCUCAGCCUUCUGUGUGUCUUUUACUUCGUUGACUUGUGCAUAAUACGUCUUUCCCAGUCGCAAGCAUCAUUAGCAUGGUGUUGCACUGGCUUUUAGGUUGCAUCAUUGCAUAGAAAUUAUUCUCAUUCUCCCUGAGCUCGAAUGCUUUUUUUUCCCCCUUAAAAUGUGCUGUCUUAUGUCACCCUUAAUUUACCUUUUUUUUUAAAAAAUAUAUUUUUAAAUUUAUUCAUGAGAAACACAGAGAGAGAGAGAGAGACAGGCAGAGACACAUGCCGAGGGAGAAGCAGGCUCCCUGCAGGGAGCACGAUGCAGGACUCGAUCCAGGGUCUCCAGAAUCACGCCCUGGGCCCAAGGCAGGCUAAACCGCUGAGCCACCUGGGCUGUCUUUAAUUUACUUAUUUUUGAGUAAUUUCUUUCUUUCUUUCUUUCUUUCUUUCUUUCUUUCUUUCUUUCUUUCUUUCUUUCUUUCUUUCUUCUUUCCUUUUCUUCUUUCUUUCUUUUCUUUUCUUUUUUUUUUUUUUAAGAUUUUACUUGUUUAUUCAUGAGAGACACAGAGAGGCAGAGACAUAAAGGGAGAAACAGGCUCCCUGUAAGAGGCUGGUGCUGUGGGACUCCAUCCCAGGCCCCGGGGGAUCACCAUCUGAGCCAAAGGCUGAUGCUCAACCACUGAGCCCCCUCAGGCAUCCCUAUUUUGAGUAAUUUCUACCGGGAACGUCAGGCUGGAGCUCAUGACCACAGAGUCAUGAUCAAGAGUCACAUGCUCUACCUCCUGAGCCAACUGGGUGGGCAUCCCAGUUUUCCAGCUUUUGACAGAGACAUAAGUACAGAGAAAUACUUCCCUAUUAGGAGAAAAACACCAGCAAACGUGAUGAUAAAGAGCAACUGGAACUGGAUUAGUUAGAGAU